rnacentral:lncRNA from 1 species
AUUUUUGUUGUCAUCAUCAGAAACUCAUAUAUAUAUGGGUCUACCUUUCACAUAGCUCCCCCUUAUAAACAAUAUCCCCCUUUUUUGAUGAUGCACAAACAAAAGUUGUUUCUCCAGUUACUUUCUCCCCCUUUGGGCAUUAGCAAAAAAGACAAUUUCAAGUAACAAGAAAAUAAAGUGCAUUCAGAAGAUAUAAGAGAUACAUCAAGAAGUUCUUACAGAACAUUUGAAGAAUGAGAUGCUCCCCC